CUCUGUUUCUUGCUGUAGUCGCUCAUGAGUGUGGGGCUGAGUGGGAAAAGGAGUGGUCUUGGCAAACAGCUUAUUAGUCUCAAAUAAAUUAUUCAGAACACAGGUUUGGAUACAGAUUGCAGGGAACGAUAAUGGAGUUGGUUUUCUGAGCCUGUUCAUGUUAUGAAGACAUGGAGUAUGCUUUUCAGGAAUUCACUUAAGUGGAAUCAGCGUUGAAUAACGUAGUCUGGAAGUAAUAUUGCUGCCAUCCAGCUAGUGUCUGUGGAACAGCAUUCUCCUGCCUCCUGAAGCAUUGGUGUUGAAGAUGGAUAGAUAGGGAGAUAUUUAUUUUUUGGCCUUUUUUUUUUUUUUUUAAAGGGCAAUUCUUUCUAAUCACUAGAGAGGGGCAUGUUUUGGCCGAGAUUUUUCCCCCCCCGAGUGAAAUAGUGGACCACAUCAGCAUCCGAUUUGGGUGCGUCAUGUGGUUUCUCAUGUGAUGCUGGUCUCACUGCGCUUUGGAGAGUGAGCCUUUGUGACUCCGCACUCUUGGACAGUAGCAUCCAGCAACACAGGAGACUUUGGGGAAGGAGAGGAGAAGAGACACCCCCUCAGAAAACCCCCAAAGCCCAGAAAAAUAAAGCAUAAAGCUGCACCGUUCGGAAGAAGCGAGAUUGUCUUUCCUUACAGCUACGACGCUGCACCGCUCUCAACACAGCCUGCUUUUCCCCCCAUUUACCUGGGCGGCUGCUGCUGUUUCUGCUGCUGCUGGGGCUGCUGCAGUCUCACUGCCUGUGCUUCACCCGGGCUGGGCUGACUCGAAACUCACUCGUCUGCACAUUGCUAAGGAAGAAGAGCGAUGGAGCCGCGUUUUUUCUGUUGGUUCUGGAAGCAAAGGGUUGCGAUAUGUGAUGGUUUUGGGGUUUUCUUUGGGAGGGGGGAGCGUAAAGGAGAAAGGAGGGGUGUUAAUCUAGGAUGGGGUGGGUGAAAGCUUAAAGAAAUAUCAUGUAAAGUAAUCCAGUGCUCGACAAGGGCAUCAGCAGCAAGAAUCCAGCCUCUGCUGCUCCAGAGGAUUAACAUGGGGAAGCCACAGUGCUGCAGUCGGGUUUCACCUCAGCGUUGUGCUGGAGAUGGAUAAAUAAGGUAUCGGUUGUGCCUGCCUGUUAAGGCAAAGCCAUGGGAGAAGGAGAGAGCGAGCGAAUGCAAAUGCAAAGGAAGAAGAAAUGCUACGUGCCGUCUGUCUGAUUCUGUGCAUUCUCAUUGCAGAGAGGACAGCUUGAUUAACAAAGCAGCGUAUGGACGGAGGGACUGUAAAUUGUAGCUCGAACACUCGUGAUGCUGUCAGGGAGGGAACUGAUGAGCUAGGUGGCUGCAGCGAUAUCCCCAGGGAAAACAGCAGCCACGCACUCUGUGUGUAUAGAUACGUAUGUGCGUGCUUUUGUGUGUGUGUGAGCAUGUAUAAACAUGAAAGACAGACAUUUCUGACCAAUUUACAGAGGAAGUUUGUCACUUGGCUGGGUCAGGCUUGAUUGCAGCUUGUAUUUUCAGCUAGAGCUCUACACCCAUUUCCUGACUGAGGCGGCACUUUGCGAAAGCAGAUGUAGGCAGAAUUCUGUUAAGAAACGUGAAAGCAGAUCCUUUCCGCUUAACACCUUGAAGCACUGAAUCUUCUGCACUGUGCUGAGGGAAACUGUGGGGUUUCGUUUUCUCCAUCUUAAAAUCUUUAUAAACACAGCUGUAUUCAGUAUGGUGAAAAAUUCUAUACUGUAAAUAGAAAUGUGAUCAAUCUAAUCAAAAUAAAUGCAUCCCAGAUGACUUCUAGACCAGCUGGCUACCACAGUCAUCAGAUGGCUAAAUGCUCAACUGAGCAUUUAUAUUCAGCAUUAUAUUUACGUCUUUUUGUUUGUUUGUUUUAGAAUUUCAAAUUCAGCUUCUAAUUAAAAAGGAUUCUUCAUCUAUUGAGAAAAGACAAUGCUCGCAUUUGGCAAUAGAUUUCUCUAAGAUGUACCUGGGUGUAUUUUUUUAUUGCCAAACAUGCUUGGGGGAGACUGCGUUUUUAGAGCAGGUAGACUUGUCACAGGACAGGCAGAUUUACUUUGGUAGGCAGCUUGGCUUGGCCAUGUCUGAACAAUGCAGAGAUAGGGGAAACAAGCGCUGCACUCAGCUAGCAGGGCUUGGCAUGGCUUCUAGCAGCUGCCUACUGAGAAAGAGGGGGGUUUUUUUUCUUCCUUUUUUUUUUCCUUUUAUACAAAUCCAUAGACCAUAAUGUCAUCCUAAAACGUGUACGGGGGGAUUUCCCAAUAGUCAUGGUGAGCUACCCUGCAAGACGCCUGUCUGGCCCUUCCACUAUUUGUUACCCAGCCUACAAAGGCAGCCCUGUGUGUUGGAUUAUAUUUAGCCAGCUGUUGGAUAACAUUCUUGUGCUGGGGGCAAAGGAGUCUUAUUACUCCCAAACUGUAGUUUUCUGUUUGCUUAAAGAAAAAUAACCUUGGCAAUACAGCAGGCUCUGCAAAGGAGUUCAUGCCACUCCUAUACCUCUCUGAAACUGUGGUGUGCUUCUAACUCAGGCAGUUUAAAGCAAGCAAGGAGGAGGAAGAGAGACUCUUAACUCACAGCUUCAAAGCUGCAGAGACGAGCAAAAUGUCAGCAGCUUGUAAUUAGGAGUCCACGGUUACGUCAGUGACUGUAUCUCUCCAAGAAUAGCUAUGUGAUGUGUGCCACAAAGCAAAGGAAGACAGUCAUAACCUGGUUAUCAAGCCUGGUUCAAACAAGAAAGAGCAAAAUGGAUUAAUGAAUCUGCUGUGUUCCUAAAUCAAAUGUGGAUGCACUACAUGUACAAGGCUUGCUGAAUCCUGCAGCAGUGAAGACUGAAUUAUCAGUUUGUCAGAGGGCACGCAUUCACUGAGUGAAAGUGUGAAUCCUUCAGGAAAAAAAUGCAGAGGAACCGUCUAUCCUAGAAAAUGUCUUUCCCAGCUCCAUCCCAUACAGGCAGCUGCGUGACACGGAGGCACGCUCUGAAAGGAGAGACCGGCGAGCCGCACGGAGGUGUUUAAAAGGAAGGGUGUAAUUAAACACAAAGCAAGCGCACUGAAAUUCUGUUCUGGCGUUACAGAUUUGAUACCGAAAUACCACCCCAGAGAAGACUCGCUAGGGUCUGGUGUGGUUUAUAUUAAGGUUUCUCUGGUUGAGAGUAAGGGGGGGGUGGAAAGGGCUUCGUGCAGCAUCUUGCAGCCACACAGCCGUCCCCAGGGCUGCGCGGGGAAGAGGGAUGCGUGCGGCUACGUGCUCUUAAAGGCACAUGCCCGGACCCCACCAGGAGCUUUCUGACCUCCGCGAUUAUUUUUUGGUCCGUGCAGGCAACUGGGCAGCAUUUAAGCAGCGAGAUUGCGGGGGGGGGGCUUAAUCUGCUCCGACUGGCCUUUCUCUGCGUUGUGGCUGGAAGAUGUUUACAGGGCUUUUAUCAAUACCCCUUCACAAUAUUCAGUUUGCGUGUCUGUCGCUGCUCACGCCGCCCAAUUGCUAAGAAGCCUGGCGCGGUUCCCUGCUCCCAGCAGAAGCCGGUUGUAGUUCAGCUCUGUUUAUGUCGCUCUUUAAUUUACCAGGAUAGGUAGAUUGCAUUAUGCAAACAGUGGGGUGGUUUUUUUUGUUUUUUUUUUUUUUUUUCCCUUGGACUGUGAACACAAACUUGUAGGAGGAGAUGACUCUGUAUAUUAAACCAAUAGCUCUUUGAAUUGUGUGUAGUAUAAUUUAAAUAUACUUACUUUAAUUAAUAGAAGGUUACAAAAGCUGGCAUUGUCUGGGGCUGUUUAAUUUACAUCUUAGGCUUAGUCAAUGAGCAUAACCUGCCUGAUUAGAAUAGUGUAUUCUGCGUAGCCAACAGGGUGGAAGACAUUAUUUUGUUUGUGUUAGUUCAAACAGCUGGUCAUUAAUGCAGGCCCCAUCUCCAGAGUGAAGUGCUAGUGGACAUGAAUGGCUGCCUGAUUAAUGCUGCCCCUCGACGGGUCCUUCAUCCAGCAGCGAUGCUCGCAGCAGAAUAAUGCAGCGUGAUUUGAUUGCGCUCUAACAGGGUAGUAUGUCAUUGUGUCACCGAGCAAUCGAGGUUAUUAUGGGGCAGGGCAGACAGACGGGACAGUGGGGUUACUAGACCGUGGCAUUUUUAGAAAUGCAGGCCUGACCUACUUAGAGUUAUUCUUGCUGGCUGGCAGCUGCCUGGUGCAGGGCUCCCCCUGAUAGGCUGCGGCUGUUGCUAGGGGGAAUUAGCAUGAAUUUUUCCACAUACAGACUCGGUGAUUGAAUGAUAAAAGCUGACUGGAAUUAAAGAGAUUCGGUUCAGUAUUAUGCAGAUUUAUCUCCCUCCUUUUUUUUUUUUUUUCUCUCUCAAAUGCAUAAAAAAGGAGCAGAAGACAGUUUGUUUCCAUUUAUUUUUGACCUAUUUUUUUUUUUCCAGGGGAGGGCAGAAGUGUUGUGAAUUUUUGAUCAUCAUUUACUAUUUAAGGCGUUGAAAUGAUAUGACAGUGGGCAUGCAUCUUUAAUGUAUGGGAGAUUCAAACGGUGUCUCUUCGGAAGGGAAUGAAAUGAAUGUAUUUUGUGUUCUGGUCAGACUGCUGCCUCUUUCUGUUUGAAGCUAUGUCAGAUUCCCUUGUCUGGAAAGGGGAAACAUAUACCAGGUUUUAUUGCAUAACAUUACUCUCGGCUAUUUUUAGCUAUCUGUACUUCACAAAAUUAGUCCUAUGUUUAUGCUGGUGGAUGAAAUUAAUCCCCAGACUACGUCUCCUAUAUGCAGAGACAGACGCCAAGGGUAUGCUGCAGUGUUGUGUGUCAUGUUCAUCUGAAAAGGUGUUUACAUACUACAGACAUAUCAGCACUGCAUACCUAGCAGAGAACUGAUGCCUGGCCUGUAAUCAGAUCAAUUAGAGAACCUCUUCUGGAUUUUGGAGUAUUUUUCAGGCUUUGGUUUGAACAUGGAUUCUCUAGAUGAUACCCUUUUUUAUUUAUCUACAUCUGCCUAAAAUAGUGUUAUCUUUUCAGAGAAUUCUGUGCUCCCUCAGGAAGCAAAUAAAAACAAUACUCAGUGAAGAAUCCUUCAAUGUAAUUAUGAAUAUUUCCUUUGUUAUUAUCACUAAUUAUAGAAGAUCUUUGUUUAAACCGCAAUUCCCCUCUGUGUGAUCCUUUACCAUGCAAAGAAGUUACAAUUUAGUGCUUAUAAUUUUAAAUUAAUUUUUCAUGGCGACGCAUCAUGACACCAGAUUCGAAGACUUGGGAAUUUUCAAAGUAAGAGGCAGUUGGGGAUGGGGGAGAGGGACCCAAAAGUCUUCCGAAUUGCAAAAUAAAAAAUGUGAGUGGGUGCUGAAAAGUAGAGAGCUCAUUUGUGUCUGAAAGGAUUUCAUUUGAAAUACUUGGACGAAGGAGAUAACCUUUCAGAGGGGGGUGAGCAGCCUGCACGUCUGUCCGGACAGCCAGCAGCCUCCCCGGACGCAGAGCUCCCCUGCCUUGGCCCCUGGAGCUUCUCGGGAAGGUAUGAAGAGGAAGCAACUGGAAAUGGAGACAAGCAUUUGAAUGCGUUUUGUGGCCAAGGCAAAGCAUUCAGUUCCUACAGAUUUGAAUUUCCUAUGUCUCUUUCCUGGCCUUGGUUCAUUACUGAAACUCACACCACUUCCUUCGCUGCUCCUUCCUGACGGUCCCAUGGAGUGACGGUUUUUUAGAGAAGUGAAAGUGAAGAGAGGCACUAUUUGAUGCCCAGUAAUUGUGUUCUCCUUGGCUGUCCCUAGAGGUGACUCCAGAAAGCGAAACUGCAGUUCUGGUCCCACUUCCCUCAGCAAUAUUCUCUUCAUCAAAGCCUGAUGUCUUGACCUGCUUUCCUGUGGGAUGCUGUCAGUGGCCGUGGCUUCCCACCUGGGCUGUGGUUUUCACACUGGUCUUCCAAACUUAUCUCUGUGUUGUGUUGUCUGCUGAGCUUCUCCCCAGUUGCUUUCCCAGUGACGAACCGGUUCAAGUGAUCAGAGAAAAGGGCUGGAGCAUGGCCGGGUUCACCCCAUCCCAGUGCCAUCCCAGUACGGUGGCUCGUACCCAGGUGGGCAGCCUCUUUGCUACCAGAAGGGAAGUACUGGCAUGGAAGUCAGUUCCUUAUGGGAGGAAAAGCCAACUUUGCUUUCGGGAUGCUAGGCAACAGCCAGCCUUUGUGUGCAAUUGCCUGUUGAGGUUCUUGCCCUUGUUGGUUGUAGCCAGCUGUAGUUGCAUCCAGUUCACCUGGGAUAUUAGCUAACUUGGACUUCAGCAAAUCAAAAUGAGUGUGCAAUGUUAUAUUAAUUUCAGCAGAAACCUAUUUGCUAGAAAAAUUAUUUGACUGUCGUCUUAUUUUGGUAUAUUCCUGCUAAAAAAGAGGGAGUCCAAAGAAAAGCAACAAACAAUAUGAAGCGUAUACUCUGUGGAAAAGAGUUGUAUCCUCGAUGUUUGUUUAGGAUUUCAACGCAGUGAACUUCUAUAACAAACAUCAAAUCAGACAGCUUAACAAACCAUCAAGUGACAUAUUAAAUAUAGAAAAUGCAGUGCACUAGAAAUUGUAUUCAACAUUAGGUUACUUUUCUGAAAGUAUCUUUAAUGGGAAUUAUUCCAAAUAAAUGAAUGUGUGAAUAA